rnacentral:sRNA from 1 species
GAUUAUCUUGUUAUUCAUUGUCACUGUGGUCCUUGUAAUCUCUUUUCUGGGCAGUAACUACUACAUUACUGUAACUAAUCAAAUGUUCAUCACGUUGGUAUUCAGCUUACUCCCUUCACUUGUAAAGCUGGUUAAAGAAAAUAAACUCAAAGACAAUAAACUAAACGAGAUAGAUUUAGAACACGAAAUGCAAAAUUCCUUUCAAGAAAACUUCAAUUCAUAUAGUUUUUGAUGUGGUCGUUGAGGACAUUUUAAUUUCUACUAACGAGGAUACUACAGGCUCAACUAAUGAUAGACGUAACUCACAGAUUCACGCUAUCAACAAUCAAAGGACUGAUUUGAAUA